rnacentral:lncRNA from 1 species
AAGCUGCUGUUUAUCUGUUCCUAGAGAUGCUAGAAUUCUGGAGAAUUUUAUCUUUGAAAAUCUUUAAAAUGUUGCAUGAUGAGUUCCUGUAUGAUGAGAGUUUAAAUUCCUACCACAGCCAUAUAUACAUGCUUGUUAGACUUUGAGCCACACAUUUAUUAUUUACUGCUUAUGAGCAUUGAGUGUGGUCAAGCUGUGUAGACCCUUAGGAGCUUGUCAUGUGGUUAAAUCAAGAUUUCACUUGCACGUUCACUCAUAUAUGCUACUUCUACUCCGGAAGUACCAUCCACAUAUAUCCAUUCAUUUCCAUCUCCAGAACCACCUAAAAAUAUUCUACUCCUAAUCCGGGAGAGAAUAACCAAAAAUAUUUCUAUUUUCCCCUUGUGAAAUAAAUGCUCAAGUUAUCUUGUUACUACCACUUGCUAUAUUAUCUCAAGAGAUGAGUGCUCUAAUAAAAAUAAUAAUAUAUACGAGGAAAUAAAAAGGAGCAAGUGCUCGGAACCUCGAAAGAAAAGAAAAGUGAGACGAGAGGUAAAAAUGGACAAGUGUCCGAGAGUAGAAUUAGGGGUACAAGAUACCCACCUGAGAGAAAAGAAAAAUAUAGAGCAUCUCAUUCUCCUCAUAAAGUUUCAAAAAGCAAGGAAGGUAUGUAUCCCCUCAAAAGAGCAAAAGUAGAAUUAAACUUCCACCACCAUUGUUUUCACCAUUGUUAUCACCAUCAUCACCAUACACCAUUCAUUCGCCACACAUGCACAUCUUGAUUUGGCUUAUUGAUUUGUUUCUUUGGAUCCAUGGUUUGACUAUGCAAUAAAUGUCUUGUAAGUAUGUAUACUUUAUCUCCCACCUAUGAGCUCCAGAUAUUAAAGCCUUAUUAGAGUAGGGUGAGAGAGAAGGCAAUGUCACUAUGCCUCAUACCACAAAUACUAC